CACACACACACACACACACACACACACACACACACACAAUCACCAACCGCAGACCACACUGAAUGCUUCAGACGCUAGCCUUUCUGCAUGGCUCGCAACCUGAAGGGCCUUUUAUCUUCCAGGGAGCAGAGAAAGCCCGCCAUCAGGGAGCAGCCAACAAAGGCCAGUCACUAGCUGCUGCCCUGCUUACUGAAGCAGCCGGGGGAGAGGGAUUGCUCUGGCCCCCUUGUUGCCAGACUGGGCUCAGGUUCUCAGUCCUCUGGGGUUGCUUUAAUCUACUUCCACACAGGCCAGCAGUUCCCAGCCACCGCGGAGUCACUUAAGGGUGGCCGCCGCUCGUCAGGAGUGUGAAGAAAUAGUGUCAGCCACGUACUCCCCCUUCAUCCAUGGGAGAUGAGUUCCAAGACCACCAGAGGAUGGCUGAUGGCGAGAUUGCCUGCUGUCUCUCUGUAAGCAUGGUGAAGCCCUGUUCACACUCUGGGAAGAGGUAAAAGCCAACACCACAGUGAUUACAAGACACCAGCUAACACGCUAUGCUGUGAGAAAGGGGGCGACUGUGGUCCCUCUGUGUCUCAGAGUAUCUGACUUCACUAUCGAGAGGGCUCUCCCUGUGUCUCCUGAGGCGACAUUGAGGCAUGAGUACCUCAUGGGACCAAAAGAGGGCGCUGCAUCCCUUGGAACCGGAGCUACAGAGAGCUGAGCGCCACCUUCCCUGUGCUGGAUUUUGAACCUGGGUCUUCUGGAAGAGCAGCCAGAGCUCUUAACCAGUCUUACCAGCCUCCAGAGGAAUGAUUCCAGCCGUAAGCUUUUACUCAUUCUACUAGAAUUGUGUACACUGUGUGUAAAUUAUUGUUGAAACUUCCCAUGUGAUAUCCUCAGCCCACUGUUGACCAAGGGCCAGUGAAACUAUAGUACAGAGAAGGUUCCGAGAGGGACGCAGCGCACCAGAUUCAGACGUCCCAGCAUGCAGGCCUGACUCGGUUCACGCAGUCAGAACCUCAGAACCGCAAGUGUCCAGAACACAGGCUUCCAGAACGGGGUGAGCUUCAGCUGAAGGCCAAGAUUCAUUUCCCCUGAGAAAAACAAUGUCUCAACCACUCCAGGGGAGGUUGGGGUGGUAGUGGGGAGCUUGAAUCAUGGCGGAAGCCUCCCUGUGCGGUUGGAGGCAAAGGGGAGCAAACCACCGUUUGGUUGGAGGCAAGGGGGAGCAAACCACAGUUUGGUUUCUCACUUCCAAAACAGGCCCACAAUUUUCAAUGAACACUUGAAGGAUUUUUUUUUUGCCUUAUAACUUCAUUUCUUCCUUCCUCUUUGUUUCUUUUUAAAAUGCAACAUGCCAGUCUGUGAUUGGCUUUACUGGGUAAAGGAGGGCAGACAGGAACGGAGAAGGAAAUAGAAAUUGUUCAAAUGAAGACUAAGAUCUAGAGAGGAAAGUCCCAUGUAGCGCCCGGGCAUUCCAAGGUCAUUUUCCACGAGAACGGACACCAUCUUGCCCCAGAACUGCUGCUGUCCUUCACAGAGCCAAGCUUGCCUUCUUGUGCCUCCUGAAACAUGACAGCUCUGAGGGGGCACCAAGGGUCCCCAUUUCUCAGAUGUGGAGAUAGAGCCCAACCCCAUUCCCUUUCCUUUCCCU
rnacentral:sRNA from 1 species